CUUUCUUCUUAUCCUCUUCUGUUUCUCCACUGAAGAUGGGAAAAUAUGUGUUUGCUCAAUCUCAUCAUUUGAUGCAUGCGUUGAUUUCAAACUCAAAUCUUCCUGUCUCGAAUUGAAGAAAAAAGGGAGGGUUUUUUUCUUGGUUUUCAUCUUCUUUCCCAUCUUUUUCUUACUAAAAAUUCUCAAGGAAGAACAUUAGCAAAAUUGGUUUAUGAAAGUGAAGAAAUUAUGUUUGAAAUUGAUCUAAACUUGGUUCUUCGAGCUAUUAAAGCGGGGAAUUAAAGGUAUAUGAUUUGGGUACUUAAAUCUCUUACUAAAUUUGUGUUUAACAAGCUCUUGGUAAGAAACUUAAUAAUUUUAUUUUAUUUCCACUUUGUGAACCCUAGAAUCUUCAUUUUAGUUUUACUGAUAUCUUGAAAUUCAGCCGUUGGAAUAUAAUGAAAUUUUAGUAUGUUGUGCAUUAUUGAGUCAUCAUGAUACUAUAAAAAUUUCAUGAAGAUCAGGUCUUGUUUACUACUGAUUAGAUUGCAUAAUCAAUGACUGCAUUCUGCAGAUUAUGAAUUCUGAACAGCCAACUGAUCCCAGUGUUUUCUCAUUAAAUGUAUAUCGGAUAGAUCUGAAUUAUUAGUAUGUUAUUAAGUACUUUGGUGGUAACUUUCUGUAAAAAUUUCAAGUAAAUCUGAUUAGUGUAAGUCCCCCAAAGAUUAGGAUAACCGGAACUGAAUUCGGUAUGACGAUCCUGUAAGCAGUCAGCUUGUGAUGUAUUUAUCUCCUUAUCGAACCGUUAGUUUGAUGUUAUUUUUGAAUAUGUUAUUGCACCCUGUAUAAUAUGGCUACUGCAAAAAUUUCGAGACGAUCGGAUAAUGUUAGCUACUGAAAACCUUAAAUAAACCGUGGUUGUGUUUCGUAAAACGGGAAUUCUCUACAGCUUGUUGUUCUUUCUACUUAAUAUUACUGUGUGGUUAUUGUAUAAAGCUAAAUUCUGUAAAUAUAAUGUGCUAUAAAACCUAAUUUUAGAAUCAGCAUUCUAUACAUAAAUUUGGGGUUUCUCCCCAAAUCUAUUGGUAAUGGUUAUCAGUUCAUAACUAAAUGCUUGUGGAUGACGUGAUUUAACCGUUAAUGAACAAUUAUUUGUCCGAAUCCUUUGGUGCCUAGUUAACUAAGAUAGUGUUUAUGCUUGAUGAUGGUAUACGUAAUGGUGAAGUUACUAAAUUAUUAUGCAUUUGAAUUAUUAAGUACAUAUCUUAAAACACAUGUGCUCGGACGACUACUGGACUCGGCAUUAGGAUUCUGUCGGUAGCACACUUGCCCACGAUAAGUUUUCUUAGUUUCAUUUUAUCGUUACAUUUGCUGAAAAUAACUGAGAUUACAAAGGGUUACAUUUUGUCCAGUAAUAUUUAGCUGGUUGUGUUUGAAAUGAAAUCUAUUUUCAAUCACUUAGUUGUUGGUGGCUUAAACACUCACGGUGUCCGCUUUAGUCACAAGUUUGUUGUUUACACUUGAUACCCUUAUCUUAGUGUGAAAUACACACAGUAGCUUGAAAGUGGUAACAGAAUCAACAGCUGGGUAGAUAGAUGUAUAUGGGUAUGUUAUGAUACAAUAUAUAAUGGAAAUGUCAUCUCACCUUGCUUGCUUUCUAGUAAUACAUAUCUGUUAUGUUGUUGUCUGGUGCAAUAGUUUAGCACAUAAACAUAAGUAGCCAAUUAUGGGUAUGUUUUGCUUGCUUAUAAGUAACCGAUUCCAUCUCUAAAUGUUAUAUGUAUGUGUUCUGAAUUUAUGAGGAUUCACUUGGACCUUGGGAAAUUGAACCUGGUAUACGAGUUAUUGGCGAUGUCAUUUCGAUUUCGAGACUUAUGGGAUCUGUCCUCUCUUCAUUAGGAUGUUCAUAGAGGCAUGACAUCAAAUGGACCUACAUCAAGGGUCCGAGGGUACAUUUGAGGGACAAGUAAAUACAUAACUACGAUUAUACCUGAUAAUGAAUAAUCUUUUCACGAGCUUGUUAAUGUGAACUUUAAAUUAAUACCUUACGUAUUGUUAAGUUCCAACUGUUAUGGUACUGCGAGUGACUAUUUUUAUUAAAUUGUAAAUAUACAUUUUUAUGCAAGAUAGAAGGUGCCUUUCUUGUGUUA